AUUGAACGCUGGCGGCAUGCCUUACACAUGCAAGUCGAACGGCAGCACGGGUGCUUGCACCUGGUGGCGAGUGGCGAACGGGUGAGUAAUACAUCGGAACGUGCCCUGAAGUGGGGGAUAACGCAGCGAAAGUUGCGCUAAUACCGCAUAUUCUGUGAGCAGGAAAGCGGGGGACCGCAAGGCCUCGCGCUUUAGGAGCGGCCGAUGUCGGAUUAGCUAGUUGGUGGGGUAAAAGCCCACCAAGGCGACGAUCCGUAGCGGGUCUGAGAGGAUGAUCCGCCACACUGGGACUGAGACACGGCCCAGACUCCUACGGGAGGCAGCAGUGGGGAAUUUUGGACAAUGGGCGCAAGCCUGAUCCAGCCAUGCCGCGUGAGUGAAGAAGGCCUUCGGGUUGUAAAGCUCUUUCGGUGGGGAAGAAAUUGCACUUUCUAAUACAAGGUGUAGAUGACGGUACCCGCAUAAGAAGCACCGGCUAACUACGUGCCAGCAGCCGCCGUAAUAC
rnacentral:rRNA from 1 species